AACGAACGCUGGCGGCAUGCCUAACACAUGCAAGUCGAACGAGACCUUCGGGUCUAGUGGCGCACGGGUGCGUAACGCGUGGGAACCUGCCCUUAGGUUCGGAAUAACUCCCCGAAAGGGGUGCUAAUACCGGAUAAUGUCUUCGGACCAAAGAUUUAUCGCCUUUGGAUGGGCCCGCGUUGGAUUAGCUAGUUGGUAGGGUAAAAGCCUACCAAGGCGACGAUCCAUAGCUGGUCUGAGAGGAUGAUCAGCCACACUGGGACUGAGACACGGCCCAGAAUCCUACGGGAGGGAGCAGUGGGGAAUAUUGGACAAGGGGCGAAAGCCUGAUAAAGCAAUGCCGCGUGAGUGAUGAAGGCCUUAGGGUUGUAAAGCUCUUUUAACCGGGAUGAUAAUGACAGUACCGGGAGAAUAAGCUCCGGCUAACUCCGUG
rnacentral:rRNA from 1 species